rnacentral:rRNA from 1 species
CGGAGGAUCCAAGCGUUAUCCGGAUUCAUUGGGUUUAAAGGGUGCGUAGGCGGAAUGAUAAGUCAGUGGUGAAAUCUCGGAGCUUAACUCCGAAACUGCCAUUGAUACUGUCAAUCUUGAGUACAUUUGAUGAGGGCGGAAUGUGUCAUGUAGCGGUGAAAUGCUUAGAUAUGACACAGAACACCGAUUGCGAAGGCAGCUCUCAAAACUGUAACUGACGCUGAGGCACGAAAGCGUGGGUAUCAAACAGGAUUAGAUACCCUGGUAGUCCACGCUGUAAACUAUGAUUACUCGAUGUUUGCGAUAUACUGUAAGCGUCUAAGCGAAAGCGAUAAGUAAUCCGCCUGGGGAGUACGCUCGCAAGAGUG